rnacentral:rRNA from 1 species
UACGUAGGGUGCAAGCGUUGUCCGGAAUUAUUGGGCGUAAAGAGCUCGUAGGCGGUCUGUCGCGUCGGCUGUGAAAAUCCCGAGGCUCAACCUCGGGUCUGCAGUCGAUACGGGCAAACUAGAGUAUUGCAGGGGGAGACUGGAAUUCCUGGUGUAGCGGUGAAAUGCGCAGAUAUCAGGAGGAACACCGGUGGCGAAGGCGGGUCUCUGGGCAAUAACUGACGCUGAGGAGCGAAAGCGUGGGGGAGCGAACAGG